rnacentral:rRNA from 1 species
GUCCUUCGGGAUGAGUAGAGUGGCGGACGGGUGAGUAACGCGUAGGAAUCUGUCCGGUAGUGGGGGAUAACGUUCCGAAAGGAACGCUAAUACCGCAUACGCCCUACGGGGGAAAGGGGGGGAUCUUCGGACCUUCUGCUAUCGGGGGAGCCUGCGUCGGAUUAGCUAGUUGGUAGGGUAAAGGCCUACCAAGGCGACGAUCCGUAGCUGGUCUGAGAGGAUGAUCAGCCACACCGGAACUGAGACACGGUCCGGACUCCUACGGGAGGCAGCAGUGGGGAAUAUUGCGCAAUGGGCGAAAGCCUGACGCAGCCAUGCCGCGUGUGUGAAGAAGGCCUUCGGGUUGUAAAGCACUUUUAGUGGGGAGGAAAGGGCGCUGGCUAAUAUCCAGCGCAGUUGACGCUACCCACAGAAAAAGCACCGGCUAAUUCCGUGCCAGCAGCCGCGGUAAUACGGAAGGUGCAAGCGUUAAUCGGAAUUACUGGGCGUAAAGCGCGCGU